ensembl:miRNA predicted gene, 25213
GUUUUUGUGUGGAGAACUAUCAGACCAAGUAGUAUAGCUUUCCUUAAGAUAUAUUAUGUGGGGCUGGAGAGAUGGCUCAGCUGUUAAAGGCUAGGGUCACAACCAAAAAUAUA